rnacentral:misc_RNA from 1 species
GGAGUUUAAUGAUUGUGUCGUCCAGUAGUCAACUGCAAGAAUCUUAAGGGAAUCAGGAAGCCGACCAUUUGGAGAGAACCUGAGAGAAGGGGGGCAUCCGAUGUAAUACAAUUCCUCAAGAUGAGACAUCUUUCCUCCGAUAAUUCCCUCAGGCAGGAAUGCCAAAGAACGGCAUAUUUCGAUAUUGACAGUUAUCAAACUGUCUGGCAAACCCCUUGCUGGGAAGGA